AAACUAACAAGGAUUCCCCUAGUAACGGCGAGUGAACAGGGAAGAGCUCAAAUUUGUAAUCUGGCGUCCCUUGGGCGUCCGAGUUGUAAUCUAUAGAAGUGUUUUCCGUGCUGGACCAUGUCCAAGUCCCUUGGAACAGGGUAUCAAAGAGGGUGACAAUCCCGUGCUUGACAUGACGACCAGUGCUCUGUGAUACGCUCUCUACGAGUCGAGUUGUUUGGGAAUGCAGCUCAAAAUGGGUGGUGAGUUCCAUCUAAAGCUAAAUAUUGGCGAGAGACCGAUAGCGAACAAGUACCGUGAGGGAAAGAUGAAAAGCACUUUGGAAAGAGAGUUAAACAGUACGUGAAAUUGUUGAAAGGGAAACGAUUGAAGUCAGUCGUGUCCGAGGGGUUCAGCCGGUCAUGCCGGUGUAUUCCCCUCGGAUGGGUCAACGUCAGUUUGGACCGGUGGAAAAGGGCGGUUGGAAUGUGGCAGCUCCGGCUGUGUUAUAGCCUUCCGUCGCACACGCCGGUCUAGACUGAGGAAUGCAGCUCGCCUUUAUGGCUGGGGUCGUCCCACAUUCGAGCUUAGGAUGUUGACAUAAUGGCUUUAAACGAC
rnacentral:rRNA from 1 species